UACGUAGGGGGCAAGCGUUGUCCGGAUUUAUUGGGCGUAAAGAGCGUGUAGGCGGCCAGACAGGUCAGCUGUGAAAACUCGAGGCUCAACCUCGAGAUGUCGGCGGAAACCAUCUGGCUAGAGUCCGGAAGAGGAAAGUGGAAUUCCUGGUGUAGCGGUGAAAUGCGCAGAUAUCAGGAAGAACACCCGUGGCGAAGGCGGCUUUCUGGGACGGUACUGACGCUGAGACGCGAAAGCGUGGGGAGCGAACAGG
rnacentral:rRNA from 1 species